AAAAAAGACUAGAAUUUCUAACGUGGAGGAUGCUGUAUCAUGUUCUGCUAUGGUGUUUUGUUUUAUUCUUAUUGUUUCUUCUGGGCGAGGGUUUCAAAUUAGCUAGCUGCUCCUAUGAAUGCUCAAGGAUGAGCUUCGCCAGCAACGUUUCUUUGACACAUCCUUAGAGGAUGGAGGCAAUGGAGCCUGCAAAGAUGCCUUUCUAGGAUCCG
rnacentral:misc_RNA from 1 species